UCGCGCCUAUUUUUCAGUACGACAUUCUUGACGACAUUCUCGUUAUCAGGACCCGCACUUUCCGGCAUAAGACCAUCAUCAAGAAUGUUACCGUUGAGACUAGUGGUGUUAGUCCUCUGUAUUUUGGUCAUAGGGACCACAGGGCACGAGCGGUCAGGGAGCUUCCAUCCAUCCAGCCGCGGCAAGCCAUCCAGUGGUUCUCGGUCACACAGCAGAUAUCAGUCAGGCAAGCCCAGGGGGAGGCAUUCGUCAGGGAGCCACAGGCCCAAAAGAAACAUUCACUCCGGCCGCCACGAGCGAUCCGUUCGCGAUCGGUCAUCCAGAAGACAUUAGUCAAGCAAGCCGUGGGGGAGGCAUUCGUCAGGGAAAUACAAGCCGGUUUGGUGGAGGCCUUCGUCAAGGAGUUUCUAUUCGAGUUACUCCCCCUCAAAAAGCUACGUUCAGUCGGGAUGGGCGAUUCACGCUACAAUAGUUGAUCUUGAGAAAUAAUGCAACAAUCGCUCAUGAAGCAUUGUUAGUAGAAAUCUUGCUUUUAACUUACAAUGUAGUAUCAAUCUGCAACAAAUAAGCUUGAAGUUUAUUGAAAA